GAUGAACGCUGGCGGCGUGCCUCAAACAUGCAAGUCGAGCGAGGCUAUGAAUUACCGCAAGGUAAGGCAUAGCCUAGCGGCGAACGGGUGAGUAACACGUGGGUAACCUACCUGGAAGACAGGGAUAACGAUUCGAAAGGGUCGCUAAUACCUGAUAAUAUCCAUCUGCCGGAUGGCGGAGGGAAGAAAGGGGAAACCCGCUUUCAGAUGGGCCCGCGUCCCAUCAGCUAGUUGGUAAGGUAAAGGCUUACCAAGGCGACGACGGGUAGCCGGUCUGAGAGGAUGUACGGCCACACUGGGACUGAGAUACGGCCCAGACUCCUACGGGAGGCAGCAGUUGGGAAUCUUAGGCAAUGGACGAAAGUCUGACCUAGCGACGCCGCGUGAGGGAAGAAGGCCUUCGGGUUGUAAACCUCUGUCAUGGGGGAAGAAGGAAGCGACGGUACCCCAAGAGGAAGCCCCUGCUAACUACGUG
rnacentral:rRNA from 1 species